rnacentral:rRNA from 1 species
GUGGAGAUGCACAGACAACUAGGAGGUUGGCUUAGAAGCAGCCAUCCUUUAAAGAAAGCGUAAUAGCUCACUGAUCUAAAUAAGACGUCCUGCGCCGAAGAUGUAACGGGGCUAAAGCCAUAUACCGAAGUUACGGGAUUGUAUUGCAAUAGAUACAAUCGGUAGCGGAGCGUUCUGUAGGCCUGCGAAGGUGAACCGUAAGGUUUGCUGGAGGUAUCAGAAGUGAGAAUGCUGACAUGAGUAGCGAAAAGAAGUGUGAGAGACACUUCCGCUGAAAGUCCAAGGUUUCCUGCGUAAAGCUAAUCUGCGCAGGGUUAGUCGGCCCCUAAGGCGAGGCAGAGAUGCGUAGCUGAUGGGAACACGGUUAAUAUUCCGUGACCAGUUAGGAAGUGACGGAUACAGUAGUUUGUACAUGCUUAAUGGAUUGUGUGUGCAAGUGAUGUGUCCCGGGAAAUAGCCCUAACGAAGACCGUACCCGAAACCGACACAGGUGGACAGGUAGAGUAUACCAAAGCGCUUGAGAGAACUAUGUUGAAGGAACUAGGCAAAAUGCUUGUGUAACUUCGGGAUAAGCAAGCCCGGUUUUAAGGCAACUUAAGGCCGGGGGCACAUACUAGGGGGUAGCGACUGUUUAACAAAAACACAGGACUCUGCGAAAUUGAAAGAUGAAGUAUAGGGUCUGACGCCUGCCCGGUGCCGGAAGGUCACGCGGAGGAGUUAGCCGUUAAGGCGAAGCCCCGAAGCCAAGCCCCGGUAAACGGCGGCCGUAACUAUAACGGUCCUAAGGUAGCGAAAUUCCUUGUCGGGUAAGUUCCGACCUGCACGAAUGGCGUAACGACUUCCCCGCUGUCUCCAACAUAGGCUCAGCGAAAUUGAAUUCUGAGUUAAGAUGCUCAGUACCCGCGGUUAGACGGAAAGACCCCGUGAACCUUUACUAUAGCUUGACACUGAACAUUGAAUUUUGAUGUGUAGGAUAGGUGGGAGACUAUGAAGUAGUCACGCCAGUGAUUAUGGAGUCGUCCUUGAAAUACCACCCUUUAACGUUUGAUGUUCUAACGAAGAUUACGAAACGUGGUCUCGGACAGUGUCUGGUGGGUAGUUUGACUGGGGCGGUCUCCUCCCAAAGAGUAACGGAGGAGCACGAAGGUUUGCUAAUGACGGUCGGACAUCGUCAGGUUAGUGCAAUGGUAUAAGCAAGCUUAACUGCGAGACAGACAAGUCGAGCAGGUACGAAAGUAGGUCAUAGUGAUCCGGUGGUUCUGAAUGGAAGGGCCAUCGCUCAACGGAUAAAAGGUACUCCGGGGAUAACAGGCUGAUACCGCCCAAGAGUUCAUAUCGACGGCGGUGUUUGGCAC